AUCUUUUACUUUUACACAACCUUUUGUAAGUAGUUAAUGGAGAAUUUACAAUAAUUAGUAGAUAGUUAGGCGUUUAAAAUAUGUCUAUUAAACUAACAGCUACUUGUUCAAGCAAUAUGUUCUUUAUAAAUACAUAUUGAUAUGAUAUUGUUUGUGUUCAAGUGUACUUUUCUUGUUAGGGACAUUAAGAUUAUUUAAAAUUUCUUGUAUUAAGUGUUUAGACAGAGAUUCCUCAUUAUAUUUUUAUAUGGAUAACAAAAUUAAUUGCUGCUUUGUAAAUAAUUAUGGAGCUUGUUAUAAACAAUCAUAUACUCAAAAAAGAAAUCUGAUUGAAGAUGUUGACAGCAAUGAUCGUAAGCUACUUAAAAAACAAACAAAUCUGAAACAAGAACAAAUUACUAAUAUAUGCACACACCAUCAUGAUAUGUUAGUUGUAUGAUAUGAGGGUAAUCAGAAAAGUUGCUGUAAUUCAUUUCUGAGUCACCAAAAGGUGUGUAGAGCAUCGCUACGUGUGAUUACAAUGCAUACUGUGUUAGAAACAGAAACCAUAGGUUUAAAUCUUAUACCUGGAAAAAAACUGUGUCCAACCUGUUGAAGUAAAGUUAUGACAUGUUUAUCAAAAAGUAGAAGUGAAAAUAAAAAUGAUGAAGAUUUUGAUAUUGUUAAUGAAAAAUCCAUUCAAAAUAAAAAAGAAAGUGUAGAUGCACACUUUGCAUCUGCCGGAGUAUCUCCAAUUAAGGUCAAAGGAUUGCACAAGUCAGGUAAAAUCAAUAAUGAGUGUAUAGAAAAAGCAAACUUGUUUGAUAACAUGAUGGUAUUGUUAACAACAAAAUUGCAGAGUCUAAAUUAACAUCAAAAAAAGUACAACUUGCGAUACUUGCUCCAACAGACUGGUCAAUAAAAAAGUAUCUGAAACAUUGCAUGUAACAAACUAUGUAGCUCGAACUGCACGUAAGUUAACAUUAGAAAAAGGUAUUUUAACCAUGCCUAAUCCUAAAUUAGAAAAAGCUCUUCCUGAUGUAACAGUUCAACUGGUCAAGACCUUUUACGAAGAUGAUGAACAUAGCCAUAUAAUGCCUGGUAAAAAGGACUAUGUAAGCAUAAAGAAAAAUGUCCACAUGCAAAAACGUUUGCUCUUAUGUAAUUUUAAGGAAUUGUUUGUUGCCUUUAAAACCAAGAACCCAGAAAUAAAAAUAGGAUUUUCAAGGUUUUGCACCUUGCGACCUAAAUGGUGUAUUACUGUUGGUGCCUCAGGAACACAUUCUGUAUGCGUCUGUGCUAUUCAUCAGAAUUUGAAACUGCUUUCACACCCUCUUGGUGUGACAUACAAAGAAUUGUUACCUUAUAUUGACGUGAUAUAACUAAUAAAGACUGUAUGAUGAGGAAAUGUGAAAAAAGCCUAGCAACUAUGAAUGCAUUGGUUGAAAAACUUUAUGAUAUACUUGGAGAAUUUGAAGAUGAUGAUGAGAUUGAAUUUGAUCAAUGGACAACAACAGAUAGGUUAAACUUGACACAUAAUAAAAAGCCAGUGUUUGAAAACAUUGAACUAGUAUGUAGAAAACUGGAAAAACUUGCACCACAUUCGUAUUUAGCAAAGAGUCAAGCAUUAUACCUGAGAUCAAGAAAGGAAGAUAUGAAUGAGGUAACAGCAUUAUUUCUGGGUGAUUUUUCAGAAAACUAUAAAUUUGUAGUUCAGGAUGAAGUGCAAAGCUUUCAUUGGACAAAUUUACAAUGUACACUUCAUCCAGUGAUUAUUUAUUUUAAAAAUUUAUAUUGGCAUUCUUAUAAUACAAAUCCUAUUGUAUUAUUUCAGAUGAUAUGAUCCAUGAUGUGAACAUGGUUUAUAAAAUUAUUGAGGUUGUUUGUAAUGAUAUAAAAACAAAUUUGCCUCAAAUAAAAAAUAUUGAAUACUUUUUAGAUGGGUGUGCAGGUCAAUAUAAAAAUUGCAAAAGUAUGUUAAAUCUUUGUUUCCAUUGUGAAGAUUUUGGUUUUACUGCUAAAUGGAACUUUUUUGCAACUAGUCACAGUAAGCAACCUUGUGAUGGGAUAGGUGGUACAGUCAAACGUCUGGCAACACUAGUAAGUUUGCAAAGAGAUAUGGGUAAUCAUAUUUUAUUUCCACAAACAAUGUAUAAAUAUUGCAAAUAAAAGAUUGAAGGCAUAAAUUUCAUAUAUAUUUCAUCAGAAGAUUUAACUUUGGUGAGAACCGCUCUUAAAGAAUGAUUGGAUACUGCUAAUACAAUACCUGGAACACAUAGUUACCAUCAGUUUGUACCACUUGGCCAUCAAAAGGUAGGCACUAAGCUAUGUUGAUGAAGAAUUUGAUUUAAUUCAUGACUUUGGAAAUAUCAAGAUAACAACUGCAAACCUAGUACCAGGUGAUUAUGCCUAUGUUUCCUAUGAGCAAAAGUGGUGGAUAGGAGUCAUUGAAGAUAUUAAUUUAGAAGAAAAAGAUGUGCUUGUAAAAUUUAUGUGUCCUUAUGGUCCUGCACGGUCGUUUGAAUGGCCACCAAAGGAAAGCCAAUACCCACAUUAUUUGCAAAGUUGAGGUACCGAUAACAAAAACAGGACUUUGCUACUAUUUAGCCAAAGAGGACUUAAAAAAAAUUAUUUUCUUAAGUAAGUAGAGAUUUUUAUAUUU